GGUUGAUCCUGCCAGUAGUCAUAUGCUUGUCCUAAAGAUUAAGCCAUGCAUGUCCAAGUAUAAACAAGAAAGAUACGGUGAAACUGCGAAAGGCUCAAUAGAACAGUGAUAAUUCAAUUGACAGAUGGUAAUCAUACUACAAGGAUAACCGUGGUAAUUCUAGAGCUAAUACAUGCACAAGGCCCGAGUGUGCGAGCACCAGGGCGGUAUUUAUUAGAUAAAAGCCAACACAGAAGAAGUGGUGAAUCAGGAUAACUGAGCGGAUCGCAGGCCUCGAGCCAGCGACAAGUCAA
rnacentral:rRNA from 1 species